rnacentral:rRNA from 1 species
CCUACGGGAGGCAGCAGUAAGGAAUAUUGCGCAAUGGGCGACAGCCUGACGCAGCGACGCCGCGUGGGGGAUGAAGGUCUUCGGAUUGUAAACCCCUUUCGGCAGGGAAGAGGGAACGGGGCAACCCGUUCGGACGGUACCUGCAGAAGCAGCCACGGCUAACUUCGUGCCAGCAGCCGCGGUAAUACGAAGGUGGCAAGCGUUGUUCGGAUUCACUGGGCGUACAGGGAGCGUAGGCGGUUGGGUAAGCCCUCCGUGAAAUCUCCGGGCCUAACCCGGAAAGGGCAGAGGGGACUGCUCGGCUUGAGGACGGGAGAGGAGCGCGGAAUUCCCGGUGUAGCGGUGAAAUGCGUAGAGAUCGGGAGGAAGGCCGGUGGCGAAGGCGGCGCUCUGGAACGUUUCUGACGCUGAGGCUCGAAAGCGUGGGGAGCAAACAGGAU